rnacentral:rRNA from 1 species
UACGAAGGGGGCUAGCGUUGCUCGGAAUCACUGGGCGUAAAGCGCGCGUAGGCGGUUUGUUAAGUCAGGGGUGAAAUCCUGGAGCUCAACUCCAGAACUGCCUUUGAUACUGAAGAUCUUGAGUUCGGGAGAGGUGAGUGGAACUGCGAGUGUAGAGGUGAAAUUCGUAGAUAUUCGCAAGAACACCAGUGGCGAAGGCGGCUCACUGGCCCGAUACUGACGCUGAGGCACGAAAGCGUGGGGAGCAAACAGG